rnacentral:rRNA from 1 species
ACGCCGGCGGCGUGCCUAACGCAUGCAAGUCAACUUGACUGAAGGAGCAAUCUGACAGUAGAGUGGCGCAAGGGUGCGUAACGCGUAAGUAACUUGCCCCAAGGUAAGGAAUAACGUCGAGAAAUCGGCGCUAAUACCUCAUAAUGCAGCGGAUCCGCAUGGAUAUGUUGUUAAAGGUUUACCGCCUUGGGAUAGGCUUGCGUCUGAUUAGUUAGUUGGUGUGGUAACGGCACACCAAGGCUACGAUCAGUAACUGGUCUGAGAGGAUGAUCAGUCACACUGGAACUGAGACACGGUCCAGACUCCUACGGGAGGCAGCAGUGAGGAAUAUUGGGCAAUGCUCGAAAGAGUGACCCAGCAACGCCGCGUGGAGGAUGAAGGUAUUCUAUAUCGUAAACUCCUGUGAGAGCAGACGAAAGACAGAUUAUUAAUCUGGAUGACUGUAUGCUCAGAGGAAGCCCCGGCUAACUACGUG